rnacentral:rRNA from 1 species
GGUUUCCGUAGGUGACCUGCGGAGGAUCUUACAGUAGUCCCCGGGUUGCCGCAAGGCCUCUCGGGUAACCUACCACCCUUUGUUUAUUACACUUUGUUGCUUUGGCAGGCCUGCCUUCGGGCUGCUGGCUCCGGCCGGCGAGCGCUUGCCAGAGGAUCUAAACUCUGUUUGUCUAUACUGUCUGAGUACUAUAUAAUAGUUAAAACUUUCAACAACGGAUCUCUUGGUUCUGGCAUCGAUGAAGAACGCAGCGAAAUGCGAUAAGUAAUGUGAAUUGCAGAAUUCAGUGAAUCAUCGAAUCUUUGAACGCACAUUGCGCCCCCUGGUAUUCCGGGGGGCAUGCCUGUCCGAGCGUCAUUACAACCCUCAAGCUCUGCUUGGUGUUGGGCCCCGCCGCCCCGGCGGGCCCUAAAGUCAGUGGCGGUGCCAUCCGGCUCCGAGCGUAGUAAUUCUUCUCGCUCUGGAGGUCCGGUUGUGUGCUUGCCAUCAACCCCCAAUUUUUUUCAGGUUGACCUCGGAUCAGGUAGGGAUACCCGCUGAACUUAAGCAUAUCAAUAA